UACGUAGGUCCCAAGCGUUAUCCGGAAUUACUGGGCGUAAAGAGUCUGUAGCUGGUCUCGUAAGUCUAUUUUUCAAAAUACCUUGGCUUAACCAAGGAAAAGGGGGAUGGAUACUGCGAGUCUGGAAGUCAUCAGGGGGUAAAGUAGAAUUUCCGGUGGAGAGGUGAAAAUUCGUUUGAUAUCGGAAAGGAAUGCCAAAAAGCGAAAGCAGCUUACUAUGAUUAUCUUGACAGUGAGAGACGAAAAGUUUUGGGUAGCAAACGGG
rnacentral:rRNA from 1 species